UAUAAAUAGCGAACCUGCACAGCUUCUCUUAGAAACUGGUAAGCCAAGUGGGAGUAGGUUCUAGAAGAGAUGAAAGUGUUUGAUCUGAUUCUGCUCAAACUCAAAGUUGUCUGGGUUGAGGUAAAGUGUUGCUUCGUCUAAGUAAUUAAUGUUGCCUUCAUUCAUUCAAUUUGAGUUACGAUACGUGCAUUACACUCAGAGGAAGCAACACUUGUACCUCAACUAAUUAACUUAACUCUUGAUGAGGAAAUCAAAUCACCCAUUUGAUUUUGCAUUUGCUGUCAUCUCUCUUCUAUAAACUCUCACUCGCAGGUGCAGGUGAAGGUUCAUUACUGGCAGAGGGUGAAACACUUAUAUCAAGUGUUAGAUAUGUUUGAAGGGUGGUGUUCUUUUCUGCAAUAGCCAAUUGAAAUUCAGUUAUGUUAUAUUAUUGCAGGCAUCCAAGUUUUUGGGCCAACAAGAUGAAGGGAAGGUUAAAAUCUGAUGGAAUAAGAUAGGUGACGCAAUGAUGAUGGUUUUUAUCAACAAGCAAAUGCUAGUUGUUAAUUGUUAGUUCUCUCUUAUUCUUUUACCACCAAACCAACCUAGUAACUUUGUGUCACUAGAAUGUGAUUAAGCAGAUUGGCAGUUUGAAGGAAGGUACAGUUAUGCUAUGCAGUGCAUGUAAUCAGUAAAAGCAAAUGGAGAUAUAGUGUUUGAUUAAGAUGAUAAUGUCAAAUUGCUGUGUGGUGGAUCUUAUAAUACUAGCAUGGAUGAGAUGUUUAGUUUAAAUGGGUUUGGUUAGGGAAUGCUUGUCUAACGUGUCCAGUUAUUGAUGCUCAGAAUGAUGGUUGAUAAACCUGUAAAAUUGGUAGUGUUUUUGCAGGAAAUAUUAGUGAUUGUAAUUGUUACAGAAAAGUUGGAGGGAUAUUAUAGGCUUAGGGUAUGAUGUAAGGGUUGAACUCUUUUAUUAUUAUAUUUCUCCUAGCUUGUACUACUUUGCUUUGCUUAUGAGAUCCAUACAGCUAAAUUAUUUUCAAAAAUUGAUGAAGAAAUCCAAUCCAGAUGCGAUUCUCCUAUUCGGUUCUGCAUGUUAAUGCAAUAUUGAUGUCAUUUUUUGCAAGAAUUGUCAUGCAAUAUUGUGGAAUGUCAUACCUAAUAGAAGGACCUUAGAAACUGUAGUUGCCUAA